rnacentral:rRNA from 1 species
GUUGAACGCUGGCGGCAUGCCUAACACAUGCAAGUCGAGCGACCGCACGGGCAUCUUCCUCGCCUCACGUUGCCGACGGACGGGUAAUUAAUACGAAGAUAACCUGUCUUUAGGACUAGGAUAACGUCAGGCAAACUAAUCCAACAUAGGACCAUAUAGUGAAAGCCAUGGUUCAAUAGUGAUAGCGCGAUUUGAUGUCCCUAUGUCAUAGUACCGCGCCGGAUUAGCUAGUUGGUAAGGAAACGGCUUACCAAGGCUACGAUGCGUAGCCGACCUGAGAGGGUGAUCAGCCACACUGGGACUGAGACACGGUCCAGACUCCUACGGGAGGCAGCAGUGGGGAAUUUUGCACAAUGGGCGCAAGCCUGACGCAGCAACGCCGCGUGCGUGAAGAAGGUCUUCGGAUCGUAAACCUCUGUUAUUAGGGAAGAACAAAUGUGUGAGAAUAUAUGGACGGGUUGACGGUACCGAAACAAUAAGCCACGGCUAACUACGUG